rnacentral:tRNA from 1 species
GAGCAGUUGGUUGAUUUGGCUGAGCGGCGCAGCGCCUAUGACGCGCAGUUGCAGGCUGUUCAGGAUGCAGAUACUGCGCU